AAAAGUCAGGGUUUUUUUUAACGAGUUCAGUUCCUGUGCCGCGAUGGAGGUCUGAGCUGUGCUGCGCAGACCAUGAUCCGGCGUUGCGCCUCACCAACAACGAACUACCAAGGAUAAAGACGAACAGAAAAAAACAAAUUCUCCGGCUCUCGAACUCGUCGAGCUCUCUUUGUCCAACUUGUCAAGCUCUCUCCAUGGCUUUUCCGUCGAUUUUGAUAUGAGCUAGAGGUUAGAAGCUACGAUUUCAGAGAUAUUUUACUUUCAAUACAAUUUCGACUCGUUUCCCACUAGUCCAAUCCUUAUUCGAUCUGCAGAGGACUCUGUUAGGGUUUUGGUCUGUUGAGAUCCGAGAGAUUUGCGGCUGCGAUUUCGAAUAUUGGAGCUUCGAGUUCAGAGGUUUGAGACUGCGAUUUUGAAUAUUGGAGGCUACGAUUUCAUAAUUUUGAGGCUGCGAUUUCUGGUUGUUAAUACAUUGCUGAGGAGGCAGUGAUCCUAUUGAUUCAACGUUAUCCUUCGAUGUCAGUUCAAAAUUACAAGUAAACUGAGGUAUGCAAAGGUUGUAUGUGUUAACUACUAGUGCAGAUGUUCUCUUCCGAUUCUCAUGGUAACAUUUUUCAAGUUAGUUCACGUAGAAGAGUUGUGAGUCGUAUAGGUGUUACUUGAGCACUGCGGUCAAACUCAUAGAGUACGAUGGUGGGUCAAACUCAUAGAGUAUGAUGGUGGGUCAAGAAAGCUCAGUGACAGUGAUGGCUUAUGACUGAAAAAAGUGAGGGGUUUUCGUAUUGAAUCCAAAGUUCUCGAUGGAAGAAGAACCUAAAUUGCAGAACUUGGAAGAAGACGACCCUAAAUCACAAAGCUUGGAAGAACAAGCCAAUAACGCCCCGAGCUUGAAAGAAGGCUCUAUGUCACAGAGCUUAGAAGAAGACCCCACACCGCACAGCUUGAAAGAACCUAAAUUACAGAGCUUGGAAAAAGGAGGCCCUAAAUCACAGAGCUUGAAAGAAGACUAUAAAUCGCAGAAUGUGGAAGGAGACUCUAAAUCCCAGAGCUUGAAAGAAGACCCUAAAUCACUCAGCUUGGAAGAAAACCCUAAAUUACUCAGCUUGGAAGAAAACCCUAAAUCACUCAGCUUGGAAGAAGACCCUAAAUCACUGAGCUUGGAAGGACGAGAUAAAAUUGCAUUCUCUGAAUUGAAUGAAAAUUCAUUGCAAUUCCUGGAUUCAAUAGACGGGUAUUUAACCCUAUUGGAUUCACUGUCCUGGACACUUCGGCAGGGGUGGUUGCAAUUAGCAAGUGCUCGACAUUCUAUGGGUGAGUCAUGCGUGAGCAGUGCUUUGUUGGACCUGAAAUCGCACAAUGCAAGUACAUUUCUGCAAGUAACCCAGCAAUCUGAUACUGAAACAGAGCAAAUUCAUCAUUUUACAUUGCGCAAAUGGGCAUCCUCCGACAAUGACAAUGGAGCUCCACUUAUGAAUAUGAGUCCACAGAUACGACAACGAAAGGAUAAGGAUGGACCUCCACCCCCACUUAAAGCUGAAACUGCUCACCAACAUCAACUUCAGAAGGAGCGGACUAAAUCACUGUUGAUGUUUGGUGGUUUGGUUUCGCCGAAGCUACGGGCAGCACAACUCUCAUUUGAAUCUGCACUUGACGCACUUGUAGAGAUUGCCAACAUGCGUUCUUUGAUGCUUUCCAUGUUUGAUAAGGUCAGGGAAGAAUUGGAGGCUGCCGAAGCCAAAUGACCUGUGAGCACCACCUAUUUCAAUCCUUGAGAUUUUCUUUUGCUUAAAUUGCUGGUUUUGAUCUUUACUACAGUUUAUCCAUUUAUUGUUUGGUUAGUUAGCUGAAGCUCUUAAUUUCUUUCAUGCAUGAACUUCAAGUUUUACGCUUUAGUUAUAUGUUUAGAAUUCAGUUGCAUGGAUUACGUGAUGAAAAUUUGAUGAUUGUUCACCAUGUAAUGCGAUGAUCGUUGGAUGACGGCUCCUGCUAGUGAUAAUGCUAUAGUAAGGAAAUUAUGAUAAAUGCCAUUUUCCUUUCAUGAAGUACAUUACCUGUGAACCACGCCACGUUCAUGAAGAUAUGUCAACCCCCUUAGAAUCUGCCUUGUAUACCCAGAGACUUGAGAAUCGUUUAAGUUAUAGUUUUGAUAUAGCUUUGCAAGUGUGCCUUUUGUUACAAGCUCAAGGAAGAUAUAGAUCUUAGUUUCAUCCUGUAAUAAUAUUACAAUGAGCAACUAAGUGUACAAAUCAGGAGAGUUGAAUAAAUAUAUUAAAUUAUAUUGAAAUAUAGCAAGCUACUUUUAUCUUAUGAUUGCAGCUUGAGUAGUUGCAUUGGUCAUCUCUUUAAUUUAUUGUUUUAUGGUUGUACAAAUACAUGUACAGUUGUACACACAUACAAGGACAAAUACCUAUGCACAAACUACAAAAAACAAGAACAAAUGCAAAAGGAAAAGAUAAAUCUCCCUCAAUAUGUAGAAAGUUGUACUUCUAAUAAACUGGCCGGAACCAAAUAGAAAUGCAAACCAGGAAAGAAAGAAAGAAGUGCGUAAAUGGAUAGCAGUACACUAAACUAGGAAUUUAGAAAUGAGAAUCAUAUAACCGUGAAUGGUGGUCCCUCUAGUUAUGAAAGUGGUGGUAGUCUUGGUGUCCUAUUUAUAGUGCAUAGGUUGCUUUUCGAACACAAACUACAUAAAGGUUGCUUUUGGAUGACGGCAAACCUAUUAUGCUUCAUGUUUGGAGAAAGACCCCAAAAAACAUGAACCGCUUGAGGAAACCAAUCUGGUUUCAGAAGUUUCAACGGUGGCAGGCAAAAUAAAUGCAGCCUGAGGGAGCACAUUAGUUUUGGAGGGCUCUGGUGUAUGUCAUACAAAGUAAAAUAUCGACUGUAAAGGUUAUUGAUCCUAUGGUGGGACUUUUGGAAACCACCCUUACUUUUGAAGCAUCUUAUGGUUAUUGCUCCGUUGAAGCUCAACUGAACUUGUUGAAGAAAGAGACACAGGACUACAAUUCCAGAUGUUCAAAGGCAGACUCGUAACUUGGAUACUGUGGAAGGAGAAGCAGACAAGAUUCUGAAGACCUCCAAACCGAAAUUGCAGGAUGCAAUCAAACAAACAGAAGAAGAAACUCAGAAGUUCGCUAAUGGAUUCAGUCUCCAAGUACAAAGAAUAUGUGCAGUCUAAAUGUCUCAGAAACAGCUGCUUACCGGUUUUAUACUCUCAUGCUGAAAGUACCGUGAUUUCAUCUGAUAGAUAAUUAACUGCCAUCUUCAUUUUAUCAUUUGAGCUUUGUUACAAUUUUGAUUAGUUCUACUAAUCAGAUGGUAUUCUAAGUUUCUUAGAGUGACGUGUUUCCAAACGAGUAUUGUAUGAGAGCCGUAUUUACAGUAUGUACAAAGUUUAUGCCAUAUAUUUCAUCGAAUUGGAUAUCUUUGUUUGUUA